AAAUUAUAAAUUAAGAAAGUGUGUAAAUUUUAUGUUAAAACUUUGUUUUGAUAGGGUACUACAACAGAAGAAGAAAAGUUGAUAUCUGGUUUAAAAUCCGUUCAAUUAGAUGAUAAACGAAGUGGUCAUUAUCAUCCAAAGAGACGACCUUCGUUGAUGAAAUUUGGUUUAGAGCCUUUUGAGGUUGAAAAUUUGAUAACUUCAAAAGUGAAAUGCUUUUUGGAUGAACCAAAUAUGAAAGUUAUAAAACAUGUGGUAAAGCAAACUGUUCUACGAGAAAAAAUUACAGGUCAAGGCAAACUUGAUAAAAGAAGAUCGUCUAUUUAUAGACUUUUUGAGAAAAGCUUGAUUCCUAACGAAUUGGACAGUCCGAACAAGCUAAAAACCGAUACAUCAAACCGACCAGGAGUUAUGCGGUUUGACAAUCAUUUAAAAAAGGAUUACCAUAAAGCUCAAGAGACAUUUUUCCGGUCAUUAGACGCCUUAGAUCUGCUAGCGCUACCAGCAGACAUCACGGUAGAAGGCGGAUAUUUGAAAAGAAACGCAUGCAUGAUAACAACAGCAGAAUUUUGUGACGUAGUUGAUGACGUUACCGAGAUGUUUGUGAAGAGAUAUUCACAUGACCUGAUACCGGUAGAAAAUAUCCAUAUACAAGCUGUUUAUUAAUCAUGUGAAAGGAUAUGCAUAGAGAGACUUCUUAUGGACAUGGCUAUUCCGAAUGAUAUGCUGGAUUCUAAAAAUUAUGAACGUUGGAGAACCCACGUUUUGGUGUUUUCUAGUUUUGCUGCUUUAUUGUACGUGUAUUUAGAAAAUAUUUGGGGCCUUGUCAAGAAAUAAAUCAUGAAUCUUUUA